CAUAGGUUUGGUCCCAGCCUUCCUGUUAACUCUCAACAGACUUACACAUGCAAGCAUCCACGCCCCGGUGAGUAACGCCCUCCAAAUCAAUUAAGACUAAGAGGAGCAGGUAUCAAGCACACAUCUCGUAGCUUACAACGCCUCGCUUAACCACACCCCUACGGGAGACAGCAGUGACAAAAAUUAAGCCAUAAACGAAAGUUUGACUAAGCCAUGUUGACCAGGGUUGGUAAAUCUCGUGCCAGCCACCGCGGUCAUACGAUUAACCCAAGCUAACAGGAAUACGGCGUAAAACGUGUUAAAGCACUACAUCAAAUAGAGUUAAAUUCUAAUUAAACUGUAAAAAGCCAUAAUUACAACAAAAAUAGAUGACGAAAGUAACCCUACUGCAGCUGAUACACUAUAGCUAAGACCCAAACUGGGAUUAGAUACCCCACUAUGCUUAGCCCUAAACACAAAUAAUUACAGAAACAAAAUUAUUCGCCAGAGUACUACCGGCAACAGCCCGAAACUCAAAGGACUUGGCGGUGCUUUAUACCCUUCUAGAGGAGCCUGUUCUAUAAUCGAUAA
rnacentral:rRNA from 1 species